AGCAGCCGCGGUAAUUCCAGCUCCAAUAGCGUAUAUUAAAGUUGUUGCAGUUAAAAAGCUCGUAGUUGAAUUUCGGGGUUAGUAGGUUGGUCAUGCCUCUGGUAUGUACUGGUCUCACUGAUUCCUCCUUCCUGAUGAACCUUAAUGCCAUUAAUUUGGUGUAUUGGGGAAUUUGGACUGUUACUUUGAAAAAAUUAGAGUGUUUAAAGCAAGCUAACGCUUGAAUACACUAGCAUGGAAUAAUGAAAUAGGACGUUCGAUCCUAUUUUGUUGGUUUCUAGGAUUGACGUAAUGAUUAAUAGGGAUAGUUGGGGGCAUUAGUAUUCAAUUGUCAGAGGUGAAAUUCUUGGAUUUAUUGAAGACUAACUACUGCGAAAGCAUUUGCCAAGGAUGUUUUCUAUUAAUCAAGAACGAAAGUUAGGGGGAUCGAAGACGAUCAGAUACCGUCGUAGUCUUAACCAUAAACUAUGCCGACCUAGGGAUCGGAUGAUGUUAAUUUUUUAAUGACUCAUUCGGCGCC
rnacentral:rRNA from 1 species